rnacentral:rRNA from 1 species
GAUGAACGCUCGCUCCAGGCUUAACACAUGCAAGUCGCGGGGCAGCAUGGGGGUUGCUUGCAAUCCCCGAUGGCGACCGGCGCACGGGUGAGUAACGCGUAUUCAACCUGCCCUUCACCACGGGAUAACCCGGCGAAAGUCGGACUAAUACCGUAUGUUGUCCAUUGACGGCAUCCGAUUUGGACGAAAGGCUUGGCGGUGAGGGAUGGGGAUGCGUCCGAUUAGCCAGACGGCGGGGUAACGGCCCACCGUGGCUACGAUCGGUAGGGGUUCUGAGAGGAAGGUCCCCCACACUGGAACUGAGACACGGUCCAGACUCCUACGGGAGGCAGCAGUGAGGAAUAUUGGUCAAUGGGCGUAAGCCUGAACCAGCCAAGUAGCGUGCAGGAUGACGGCCCUAUGGGUUGUAAACUGCUUUUAUGCGGGGAUAAAGUGGCCCACGUGUGGGCUUUUGCAGGUACCGCAUGAAUAAGGACCGGCUAAUUCCGUG